rnacentral:lncRNA from 1 species
AUGCUAUUGAUAAGAAAAAAGAAAAAGGAGAGAUUCCUGGUGCACUUACUGACCACCUGUGAGCGUUACCCAGGAGCUUUGGUCCCCAAACAGGAGCCCUCAGCGCAUCCUGCACAAGGCAAACGUCUGCAGCCCAUGGGGUCAGGUGGCCUGCACAGCCUCGCCGUGGCAGGCACGUCCCGAGAGCUGCCCGGCCCCAGCCAGCCGGCUUUGUCCUCCUGGAGCCUGGGAAGCGGCUCAUCGGGAUCACUGCAACCCAAGCUCUGCGGGUCUUGCCUACCAGGGGCGGUUUCAGCACCCGGUGUUCAUUUCUCUACAGGCGAAGAGAAAUGGGAAACCGAGCUUGAGCUCCAGAACCAGGGAGAGGGGAUGGGAGACCCCGACAGCAAGCCUGUCCAUUCAGUCCCGAUCAGCCUGGAGCCCCACACGGAAGAAUGGUUGCUGACCUCAUCUCAGAACAUGUCCAAGCCUCCCCCCUCACGUGGGUGCUGCGCAUGCCUUCCAGAUGCACAUUGUCAGCUGCAGACUCCCAGCUGAGAAGAAGAGAGAAGGGGAAUGAGAUCACAUGCUUGCUUUGCUGAAUUCUGUUUCACACUAUAGCUCAUUGAGCUAAAGCAGCAGAGGCCUGGGCAUACAGGAGUCAUUUUCUGUGGGGUUUCUGGACAUAACAACGGCCUCAAGGAGGCUCAUGGACCCAUUGUGGUCCAGGAGGCCCACCAAGAGGGGUCAUGACAGAGAGGUCAGCCUCAUCUGGAUGGGCCUGUUCUUGUGGCAGUUUCCUAUCUUGGAGCACUGACUACCCCUGCUUCUCACGUCUGUGGGGCAGCACUGCGGACCCCUCUGUCCACCCAGCUCCUUCCUGCUCAGGCCUGGGGGACUGGCGGCCCCUCAAAAGAGUCUGUUUGUAAACUUCAGACCCAGAAAAUUGAUUGUUCUUCCAGCAUCAGAUAAUUAUCUGUCCUCCCUGAAGCAGAAUGCUGUUCCUCUGGAGCCCCAUUCAGCUGUGCGCCUGUGCUGGAUGCCAUGUGCAUAGCGAAGCCAGGAGCCUCUGGUGGACACACAGGACUUGAGGCAGGGCAGUAUGGCACUGAGUCCAGAAGGGGCCAGUGGGGCCCUGCCCAGAGAAACCUCUUGGCCUUCUUCUCCUUUGCUGCGGUGCUGGGGGCAGAGCUCACAGGCUCGCUAGGCAAUGCCAUUGCAGGCCAUGGGCCCGGGGCAUGCAAGGUGAGAGAGGUGCUUCAGGAGCAGCUAGUUCUGAAAGCCUCAGUUUCUUCCCUGUAUCUUGAAAAUGGGAUCACAUCACCAAGGUGAGGCCCUUCCACUUCUGCACAGGGUAAACACUCUCUCCUGUUUCUCUCUGCUUCUCAAGAGUGUCCUGACCCUUGGAGAAUCUCUCAGGACUGCAAUGUAGGAUAACCUUGUUAAGCUCAAAGUCCUCAGUCAGUGCUCCCUGCCCUUCCACACAUGUCAUGUGGCUCUGAUGUUUGGGCCCUGCUUGCUGCCCACCCACAUCCAGGGUGCUUGAGAAAUUUGCUAAGACCAGGUUGGGGAGGAGAGCAGUGCCACUGUGUCAUUUGUUCUGGCCCUGGGAGACCCCUGCCUCAUCAUCUACAUGUUCUGUGGGAUGCUGGCUUAGGGGCAUUCUGGCUCAGGAUGACACACCCCAGGGUGACACAAUGAAAGCAGGGUCUGGCUUGGAGUGAAGUCUGACCGGGAGUCCAGGCAAUACAGACUCUGGCCAAGGGGCUGCUCAUGGGUUGAGCAGGGAUCUGCAUGAGCCCAUCAAUCUUCUCCUCAUGGGGACAGGAGAUAAUCACUUGUCCACCCACAGAUCAGGUGUCUGGUGAGAGCAUGUUUCCUAGUUCAUAUAUAGCACCUCCUUGUGUGUCCUCACUUGUUGGAGGAGUGAGGGAGCUUUGUGGGGUCUCUGUCAUAAGGGCCCUACUCCCAUCCAUGAGGACUCCAUCCUUGUGAUCUAACCACCUUCCAAAGGCCCCAUCUCCUAACACUAUCAUCUUGGGUGUUGGGAUUAUAACACAUGAGUUUGGGGGGCACAAGAACAUUCAGACCAUAGAGAUGUUAUAUCUCUAGCUUCAUUUCUAACUACCUCAUGGAGGGAUCUCCACUUUCUAUAGACAUUGCCUUCAGAAUUCCCAGAUGAACCUGCCCUCCGUUCCCUGCAGUCAUGUCUCCAAACCCACAAACUUCCUCAGUAGUCUUAGUUGGUAGUCAAGCUGCUGUGCUGGCAUAUCUUUCAGGUACAAAGCAGGCCAGGUGUUCACCUGAGCACUCAGGGCUGUGCAGGUAUGCUGGAACCAGACAACCUUGUCUCCAUGCCUGUCUGAUGGAGCCAGUGUAUGCCGUUGGCUCUGGGCCCUUCCAGCAGUAGAACUGCUGCUCAGACUUGAGUUCAGUUCCCCACGGGCAGGAAAGGCUAAUGUGGCAGAGAGAGACUGGACACAUGAAUGUUUGCACCCCUGGGAUCGGGUGAUGUGCUCCUCUGUCUCAUCCCUUCUGCUUCUCUCUGUGCCAUUUAAAUUUAUUUAAAGAACCUUUUGAUUUCAGCAUUCUAAUUUGGUCAAUGAGCCUUUGUGGUUCAUGACCCCUGGGAUAGCUUCUCUGUCUAUGGAGGACAAUGUGCCUGGAGGAGGUGAAGAGUGUCUUCACCACCUCUUUCAGUUGCAGCUCCUCCGAGUGCUCUGGAGGGCACAGACACAGCCUGCCUCUGUCUCAACAGCUGCAUCCAAGGAGUCUGGCUUGAGGGGUUAAUUCUAUGCAGGUG